UGUAAUCAUAAAAUUAAAAAUAAUAUAAAAUUUAUAAAGCAAUUCAUUUUUUUUUUCAUAAAAAGUAGCAAAAAUAAGGCAGUCUUUAGAAAAAGGUACAAUUUUUGUUCUUAAAUCUAGGUUAACAAAUUUUUUUUAUUUUGUUUACAAAAUAACUCUUUGUAUAUGGUUUUAGAACAAAAAAAUAAAGUCCAGCAAUAUUAUAUGCAAAAAUUAUAUAUACCAAAAAGUCACACUAAAGAUAACGAUAUAUCUUUUCGACGUACGAUUUGAUCAUAACUCAGAUAAGAAAAUACUCACAGCAAAAAAUCAACCACUACCAAUAAGCUGCUGCUACCGACUGAGAUAAAUGAGCGCAAGAAGUUGCUCAGUAGACAAAUAAAAGUGUGAGAGCGUAAAAAAAAUGUGUACGUCGUUUCGACGUACGUUAUCUUUCUAGGGUUAAAUAAUUGAAAUGCAGCCUAAUUAAAGCUCAAAUUAUUGAACCACACAUUUUUAUAUAAGUUAAACGUAAAAUAUGAGUUUUGUAAAACCAAAAAAUGGAAUUGAAGAGUGUGAUACAGUAAUACUUCAUCUCACUGUAAAUGGGAUGUACGCAAUAGAAGCUACACCAAAAAUAGUCAACAAAAAGGGCUAAACCAUAAACAUAUAUUUCAAACCUCAUACGUCGCGUUAAAUGUACGCAACCUUAUUUGUGUCACUUAUGGUAGCUGCAUAAAACUCUCGAAGGGAUGGGAGUAUGUGCUGUAAGAAAAUCCAGAAUUAUAGCCAUAAACGCUACAUCGAACAAAAAUCAUUUACACGUUUUUAUUUACGUGCAAUUAAACCAUUUGGUCGUCUACAUACAUUUGACUUCCACGAAGCGUGAGUGCAACAUACACGUGAAGAAUUGGUACGACAUGGUUUAGGAUCUUUUGUAACCGUUUAUCAUCGCGACGUGUGUCAACUGAAUUUUGCCAAUGAGCUAGAGGGCAUAGUAGAUGCAAUAUUUUUGGACUUACCGGUACCUCAGUUCGCCGUACCAUUAGCAGGUAAAACAUAGAAAUAGGAGGGUAAAUUUAAGUGAAUGUUUGUGGUCAUAAAAAUUUAAAAAACUUCUUGUUUGUUUAAUUAAGAGGAAUUUUUUUUUACUCAUUUUCACCUUCUACAUAUUAAGAAAUCCUAACGUUGUUGUAUCGCUUUACAAUGACAUGUAUUUGCCGAAAUUAGUUCAGUGGGAAUACUACCGCAAGAGAAAACUCAUAAAGAAACCAAAAAAGUUCUCACAUCAUGUUUACAUUUUGUUUUAAAUGGGUAUUUAGAAAUAAGAUAUAAAAAUAGUGUUAGUUAAUGAUAUAAUGUUGUACCACGACAAAGCGAAAGAAUUUUCUCAAAAAAAACCAAACGAAUAAAAUACUUUUCGGGAAAAACGAAAUCACGUUAAACGUUCACCAACGUUAGGUUCACCAAUCAGGUUUGGAACUAAUUUUAAAUUUGCAAUUAAAAGAAUUCAAAAAUGUGUAAAAAUACCUAGAACAGAGGUUGGGCCCUUCGGUCAAAUUUAUCGGCAAAGCAGUUAUACCUUUUCACUUUGUGGUAAAGCAGUUUAUAAACGGGAUCAAUGAUUGCAUAAAAUUUUACAAUCGAAAGGGAUUUAAUGAUUAGGCCCACUAUACUAUUUUACCAUUUUUAGAAUUAUUAUAGAUUUGUUAUAUAUUAGCAUUGACGUAUAUACAUAUACUCAGUACAAAUUUUUCCAAACAAUUUUGUGUGCUUGUCAAGAUUGUUAAAUUUUGUUGAAUAACUUAAAUUUCUUAUGAUUUACAAAUGUUCAUAAGUUCUAACUAUUACUUUUUGUGUUAUAAUAUAUUACCCUACAAGACGGAGCUAACUCAUACACCACUACACAUGCAAAUUUUUUCAGCUUUUACCAAUACAAUUACCAAUAACAAAAAUGACACCAGAACAAACUAGAAUUGACAAUCGAAAUUGAUAACUUGCCAGAAAAAUCUAGACAUCGAUAAUCGUUGCGAGUCAAGCAGUUACGAAGCGUUGAUGGCUGCUGUAGAAAGACGGUAUGGAAGUGAGCACCGGAGACAAAUUUUCCAAAUCGAAUUGCAAAAUCGCAAACAAAAAGCUAGUGAGUCUCUGCAAGACUUUGCUACGGAAGUGGAAAGGUUAGCUCACUUGGCUUAUGCGCAUAAGUCCGCAGAAUAUAUAGAAGAUAUAAAAAUCCACAGUUUCAUUAAUGGUAUACGAGACGAGAAUACGCGCUAUUCUGCACUAGCAUGUCCAAAAUUGACAUUUGCAGAAACAGUGUACUUUGCUCUUACGCACGAAACUGCCUCUUUACUUAGUAACAGAACAUUUAAAGCUCAUCGUGUAGAAAUAGAAGAGCCUGCCUGGACGAAGAAAUAUUUGGAAGAAAUGCAUAAAAUGUUGGAGAAAUCUGGAGAAACACGUAAGAAAAAUAAUGGUGUGGUUAAAUGCUUCAACUGUGGGAAAGGCGGCCACAUUGCACGUAAUUGCAAUUUGGAAUCGAAUCGACCCAUUACCUACCAGCAGAUCGGGAAACAGGAGUGGUUUGAUGGCUAGGACGGAGAAAUACCCAAUUCUAAGCCAAGAGACUGACGAGAUUAAUGCAUGGACCAAGGAACUUGAAGUAGACCAUAAAAAGAAGGCCAAACAACUUCUUCUCAGAUACUCCACCAUAUUCGACAAAGAUGAAUCCAAACCAGGUAGAACCAAAAUUGUGAAACAUUCCAUCAACACCGGCGAUGCAAGACCAAUCCGCCAGGCUCCUCGCAGCGUUCCAUUAGCAAAACGUGAAGUUGUAAGCCAGACCAUACGUGAAAUAAGCGAUAGCGGUGGAAGUAAACGAAGAAGAUAAAGAAAAGACGGCUUUCAGCGUUGGAGAUGGUCUAUGGCAAUUCACUGUAAUGCUCUUUAGGUUAUGUAACGCUCCUGCCACUUUUGAGAGGCUUAUGGACCAAGUGUUAAAAGGAUUGUACUGGAAGACAUGUUUGGUGUACCUAGACGAUAUCAUCGUGUUGGGUAAAAGCUUUGAUGAGCAUCUCAAAAAUUUGGAAGAGGUUUUCCAACGCAUAGCCAGCGCUGGUUCAAAACUGAGCCCAAAGAAGUGUUCUCUGUUCAAGAAGGAAGUGAGCUAUUUAGGACACAAAGUGACUACGAAGGACAUUUGUACAGCUCAGGAAAAGUUAGAGGCAGUAAAGGAUUGGCCCAGACCUAAAAAUUUACAUGAAUUGCGGAGUUUCCUUGGACUGUGUACGUAUUACCGACGAUUCGUUCCAAAUUUCGCCAGCGUAGCAAGUAGCCUCCAUGAACUCACGAAGAAGAACAGAGCCUUUGAAUGGAAUGAAGAACAAGAAUUGGCCUUCCAAACUCUGAAGGAGAGAAUAAUGGGUGAUAAAAUGAAGGCAAAAUACGACAAGGCAAUGAACUCCGAAGGAUUUGUGGAAGGAGAUUGGGUAUUGUUAUAUAACCCACAACGGAAGAAAGGACUGUCUCCUAAAUUUCAAUGCAGUUGGGAAGGACCAUACCAGGUUGUUAAACGGAUAAAUGAUGUAGUGUAUCGCAUACAAACAAUUGGUAGACCUAGGAAUAAAAUGAAGGUGGUUCAUCACACAGUUCUGAUAAGAGAGUUGUCGAGUGAGGACAAUUCUAAGGAGAGAGUUGUCGAGCAAAGUGUAAACAAGUUAUAAGUUAGAGUUGUAAAGAAGAGUAUUGAGUACUAAAGUGUUAAGUUAUAAGGAAUUAGAAAUUAUUAGUGUAUAGCCAUUAAAGUGUGACUUUUAUUUGACAAUCCAGUGAUCGCACUCAGGGUGGAGUUUUAGAGUAAACGACAGAUUUUGGAUAUCCGUUACAAUACACAUUGCUAACAUUUUGUAGUUAAAUGGCAAUCUCGGUAGUUAGAGUGGCAACAUUCAUUAACCCUAAUUUUUGUAUGUAUAAGAGAGAGAUGAACGUUCUACAAUGAACCGAUCAAAAUCUCCGCCAUGGCCGCCAUUCAUAUGAAAAGAAAAUUUUAAGUGAGUGGAUAGCGGUACUAUUGUUGACUGGAUGCCGCAGCUUAUUUUAAGGAAAUAACUGCAGAAAAUAGCAAAGCGAUCUGCAACGCACAUCUGGUGCAUACAUGCGAAACUAAAAAGAGAAGCAGAACAAGGAUUAUGCCACUUUAGGCAGAUGGAUAUUUGUAAACUUAGGAGGAAAAAUUAAAGCUCAAUUCAAAUACACAAUAAAUGUUAAAUCGCACAACGCAACAGGCAAAUAACAAGGCAUCGGAUGAUGUACUACAAAUUACAUCGGACUUUUGUAGUAGCACUUUCUAUACUUAUUUUCGACGAGCUAAACAGUGUCUCCUAUGAUGCCCUUGGAUCUACACAAUUUUUCAUUGGUGGUUAAAAAUACAAGUCUGAAAGCACUAAUAAUGUUGAGGAAUACAAUUUGGAAACAUGUACGUGGGAGAGCAUGCCUGCAUUGCCACAGCACUUACGGGGCAUGAAUGUGGCGCUAUUGAAUGAAAGCAUCUACGUUUUGGGAGGAUAUGUGCGCAAUGCAGCUGCGCCAUUGGAAACUGUGUAUAGGUUAGACAAUAACGGCACAGAGUGGCAGCAGGUCGCAAAUUUGUUGAAACCACGUUUUUGGUGGCUUGUCAGCUGCAGGAACACUACUUGACGAUUGUGAAUGCUAUGACGCAGUGAGCAAUACUUGGACACAAUGUGCUGAUAUGCUGGAACCACGCGGUAAUGUUGGUUUGACAAUAGCAAAGGGGCAAAUUUAUGUGUUAGGCGGUACAAAAAGUGUUGGUGGCGUUUGUGUGCAAUCUUAUGAUCCAUUCAAAAAUGUGUGGACAAAGGUUUGUUACUGGUAAACACAACACAAUUUAUUAAUUUAGAUGUAAAAUAAUGUUAAAUUAGCAUCUAUAUACAACUGAAUGUACAAAUAUUUGUGACAAUCGCAAUAGUAGUGAAAUUUAAUUUGUAUUGUAUAAUACUACAAAAAAUCAAUACUUAAAACUUUUGAGAAAUUGUAAAUUAUAAAAAUUUAAUAAUAAAUACUAACUUUAUUUGUAAAAUAUGCAAAUUUUGUUAAUGUAUAAAUGAUAGCCGCAAAAAAGUUUGUAAAAAUGAAAGUUUACUUUCUACUGAAAUGUUAAUAUAUAAAAAUU